AGAACUUAGCAGAGAUGCUUUGGUGCCUUCGGGGAACUCUGAGACAGGUGCUGCAUGGCUGUCGUCAGCUCGUGUUGUGAAAUGUUGGGUUAAGUCCCGCAACGAGCGCAACCCUUAUCCUUUGUUGCCAGCGGUUAGGCCGGGAACUCAAAGGAGACUGCCAGUGAUAAACUGGAGGAAGGUGGGGAUGACCGUCAAGUCAUCAUGGCCCUUACGAGUAGGGCUACACACGUGCUACAAUGGCGCAUACAAAGAGAAGCGACCUCGCGAGAGCAAGCGGGACCUCAUAAAGUGCGUCGUAGUCCGGAUUGGAGUCUGCAACUCGACUCCAUGAAGUCGGAAUCGCUAGUAAUCGUGGAUCAGAAUGCCGCGGUGAAUACGUUCCCGGGCCUUGUACACACCGCCCGUCACACCAUGGGAGUGGGUUGCAAAAGAAGUAGGUAGCUUAACCUUCGGGAGGGCGCUUACCACUUUGUGAUUCAUGACUGGGGUGAAGUCGUAACAAGGUAGGCGUAGUGCU
rnacentral:rRNA from 1 species